AUGAUGCACAUGAUUAGCCAUAGUCAAAUGAAAUGAAUCACUCUAAUCCUUAUUAGUGCCGGUUUCAACAUAUUUCAAACACUUGAAAACGGUGUACACCCAGUUUUAUCCUAAUGAAAUCCAUCUCUGCUCUCUUCAUAAUUUUUUUCACAUGACAUUAUUUUUGCCUAUGUGGCAUCUCACUUGACGAGUUUGAAAUCUCCAUGAGAUCUGCACUUAGAAUGGCCUAAUUAGGUCUUUGUAGAGCACUAGGCUACCAAUCUCUCUGCUUUCACAUGUCACUGCCAUUGUCACCUUGACUCUAUACGGCGUCUGUUGCAUUAGGGCAGGGGCGGAGCCUAGUGGAGGCGAAACUGGGCUCCCGCCCCCCCUUGGCCCAGAUAAAUAUUGAUAGCCCACAUACUUUCUUGGCUUCUCUGGACUUUAGCACAAAGUUGAGAGAAGAGAGCCCACUCAGGUAGCCCAUUAAGUUUCUUGGCUUCUUCACAGCAAAGAGCAGAUGUUCCCUUGUCCCACACGACGUCGUUGGUUUACUUUUUUUUUUGCCCCCCUAUAAUUUGAUGCACCCUCCUCCGCUGCAUUAGGGUAGUCUUUUCCAAAAAAAAAUAUAUGAGAUGGAUGUUUUUCAUACUUGCCAAGUCAAAUACACAUUAUACAUAAAAACCAUAUUAGCAAUGGAUGGCCAACCAACUAUAUUUUCUUUUAUAUCAUCUACCUACGUAUCUCUUUCUAUCUUGUUUCUCAUGUAGACAUGAGUACUUUCUUGUAUAACUAACUAUUUUCUUCUUUCUCUUUCUUAGUCGUUCCAGUGCCAUAUUACUAUUUUACUUAGUCGAUACCAUAAUUAAUGACUAUAUAUAAAAAUAAUCAUAGCUUCGAGAUUAAACCACCCUUAGCCACUUGUCCUUGGACCUACUUAUGGUUUGCAAUUUUUCUUUUCUAGUCUAUUUUGGGGAAUUGCUUGUGUUUUUCUCCUUUUUACUAUGGUGCAUAUGGAUGCACCAAGGUAGCUCUACUUAGGAUGUCUCCAAUGCUCUAGCUUAGAGCUAACUGAAUCAAUUUUUUUAAUUAUUGAAUAGUGCAAAAAGCAAGAGACUAGUAUAGGCUUAAAAGAUAGUCUCCUACAUUUCACGAUAUUCAAAACUGCUUACUGUGAUCUUCCUUUCCUCUAUAUUUAUUAGCUUAGAGCUAUAGAGCUAAUAUUAGCUCUUACUAUUAGAGGCGCCCUUAGCUUCACCCCUAGGUCUUGUUUGAAGUAUGGUGCAACAAAAUUGAACCCUAACCCAAAACCCAGAACACUAACCUCAUCAAAGUAGGUUAGCAAAAGAGAUGGGUACUCUUGGAAAGGGUAUAAUUCCCGAAAACAGAAGGUUAGCAAAGAGGACAAGAUAAACAGUUUUAGGGUAUUUUUACAAUGCCAUCUCAGCUCUUUAUUAUAUAUAGUGAUUCUAGAGGUCAGCUUUUGUUCUAUGUGGAAGUGACAAAGACAAAGACAAAAAAAAGUAUGUGGCUGGAGCUGGAGGUAGCGAGAGCCGCUAGCUGACAUCUUUCCACGUCGAAUGGUCAUCAGUCAUCACUCGCCGUCCUUGAAAUCUCCUAGCUACUGAUUGCUCAAGUUCUUCCAGGCUACUACCCAUCCCGAAGACCAACGCUGCUGUUAAAAAAAAGACUCAACCUAAUCCAAAGCAUUAUUAUUACAUGUCAAGAAAAUCUUUAAACCCAGCUUUGCUGACCCCACUGUCCUACCUAUCUCCAUAUGAUAUCUAAUACAAAAGAUGUGACCAAACAUUCAGCAGAGAAUAACAUACUGCAUACGUGCACGUUCUCCUGUGUCUCUUCUCCUACAGUCUACAGACCACUCUCUGCCUGCCCUAACUGUAUGUUUGCUCUCGAUCGCUGCUUUUUCCACGGCCAGCCAAUGCAUGGAAAGGUGAACGAUGCAUCAAAGAUGCAGGAACACCGAACACACACAGCUCAUGUGCAUUUCUUGGACACUGCUGUGCAGCUAGGUGUGGAGCCAGACUAUUGUGUGCGCCAUUAAUUUGGCUAUAGGGAUACAUAUAAGAGGUGUCUUGUACUGACGCGACGCGAGGAAGACGACGGGGGCUGGUCUACAAGUGCUGACCCGAGCGCACUGCGGCAAUGGUUGUUGGUCCAAGCACGCAUCGAGCCAAUCAUGCAGUUCAACGAGUGAGCUGAGGUAAUCAGGAUCAGUCCCGUCAUCGGCUAGAGGCUAGGGUCUUGUUUAGUUCCAGAAAAUUUUGCAAAAUUUUUCACAUUCUCUGUCACAUCGAAUCUUUAGACGCAUGCAUGGAGUAUUAAAUAUAAACGAAAAUAAAAACUAAUUGCACAGUUUGGUCGGAAUUGACGAGACGAAUCUUUUGAGUCUAGUUAGUCCAUGAUUGGACAAUAUUUAUCAAAUACAAAUGGAAGUGCUAUAGUAUCGAUUUUCCAAAAAAUUUUGAAACUAAACAAGGCCUGACGAAGAGGGGAUAUCUCAUAUCUGUGGUGGGGGAGGCGGUGCUGGCCGCUGAUUCGACUGACGACCGGUUUCUUUGUCGCUGUGGUGGUGAUGGCCGAUUUGGUGCCAUCUGUUUGUAUAUGUCCAGCCUCGUGCAGUAGUAGUAGCUUUUGCGCUUGGCCGUCCUGUCGGGAACCAGCGCCCCACAUUGGCACAUUGCGGUCAGGAAAGCAGAAUUGCGACUUAAACUGUGUAGUAGUGGUAGUUGUCUACCUAGGCCUUGUUUAGUUCCUCGUCCAAAUUUUUUCGGACACUGUUGUUAGAAUUAUAGGCAAUUUCCAUAUCAUUUUAAUUCCAUAAAUCAACAUUAUGAUGAUGACAUAUAUAAUAUAAUUAAUCAUAGAAAUCAUGAUAUUAAACAUGUUCAUAGAAAUAUAGAACAUGUGAUCCAUGAACAUGUAGAACAUGUGAUUAUUAAAAAUAUAAAAGCAUAAUAUAUGAAAUAUAAUAACAAGGCAAGACAUAUAUCUUAAAAAGGCAAUAAACAAGAGAUUGUAUGUUAAACGAUGAAAUAGAACUACUGAAACAUAUGAGAAAUAGUAUAUCAAAUGACGUGACUGAACCACUAGUGAAACAUAAAGACAACAGCAUAUGAAACGUUUUAACUUAACCAGCGAAACAAGCAGACAUGACAUAUAACUUAUACCAGAAAUAUAUAUAAGAUAAAAACAGAAAAUACAAGGUAGAACAUAUGAAACAUAACCAGGAUAGAAAGCGCAACAAAACAAACAUACUACUGUAACAUGUAUGAACAGAAAGAUGAAACACAGCAGAAAGAUGAACGGAUCAUACCCUCCCAUGCGCUCCGAUGAUCCCGAUCCUUGACCAACUUCCAUGAUGUAGAGGAUGAAGACGAUCUUUCCACCGGGAAGAAGAAAUCCGCCCGAACCGGCUUGAGGAAGACGAACAGUGGCGGUGGAUUGGGCAGUCGCGUAGACGCUCCCCAAAAACCUAAUUGCCGUCCUCCCCGUGCAAGGAUCACGAACGACAAGGGCUUCGGAGGCACCUGCCCUCUCCCUUCUUCGUGCGCGCGGAUCGAGGAGAUGGAGAAGCCUACGUUGCUGCGGAAUUGUGUCUCUG
rnacentral:lncRNA from 1 species